rnacentral:rRNA from 1 species
CAUGCAGUCGACGAGAACGGCCUUUAGCUUGCUAAAGGUGUCAGCUAAGUGGCGGACGGGUGAGUAAUGUAUAGCUAACGUGCCCCUUGGAGAGGGAUAACGUCUGGAAACGGGCGCUAAUACCUCAUACUCCUUUUCUGUUAAUUCAGAAUUGGGAAAUGGUUUUUCCGCCAAGGGAUCGGGCUAUAUGGUAUCAGGUAGUUGGUGGGGUAAGAGCCCACCAAGCCAAUGACGCCUAGCUGGUCUGAGAGGAUGAUCAGCCACACUGCAACUGAGACACGGUCCAGACUCCUACGGGAGGCAGCAGUGGGGAAUAUUGCACAAUGGAGGAAACUCUGAUGCAGCAACGCCGCGUGGAGGAUGACGCAUUUCGAUGUGUAAACUCCUUUUAUAUAGGAAGAUAAUGACGGUACUAUAUGAAUAAGCACCGGCUAACUCCGUGCCAGCAGCCGCGGUAAUACGGAGGGUGCAAGCGUUACUCGGAAUCACUGGGCGUAAAGCGCGCGCAGGCGGGCUGAUAAGCUGGAUGUGAAAUCCUAUGGCUUAACCAUAGAACUGCAUCCAGAACUGUCAGUCUAGAGUCUGGGAGGGGAAGAUGGAAUUAGUUGUGUAGGGGUAAAAUCCGUAGAGAUAACUAGGAAUACCAAAAGCGAAGGCGAUCUUCUGGAACAGUACUGACGCUGAGGCGCGAAAGCGUGGGGAGCAAACAGGAUUAGAUACCCUGGUAGUCCACGCCCUAAACGAUGAAUGUUAGUCGUUGGUGUCCUAGUGACAUCAGUGAUGCAGCUAACGCA